rnacentral:sRNA from 1 species
AGGACCGAGGUGGGGAAGGAGGGGAGUAGAAGGGAAGGCGGAGGACCGUUUAGGGGGAUGCCUUUCUGGAAAGGAAAAGAGGGGGACAGAGGAGCCUUCAAGAGGAAGAAGUGUGAGACACCCCCUUUUUUUCUUUAAAUAAGAGGCGUCCCAACAUCCUCGCCCAGGCCUCGCCAGGUGCUCCAGCUCCGGCUGGGUCACCGCGUUGCUCGGAAGGUCGCAGCUGACAGACAGAGAUACUAUAACCCAGGAGGAGGUUCGGGUUCCUGGUCGCUUUCUGCCUGAGAAGCCAGCGCUAAGUUCCGGCAUGAUGGCCUUAGAAAGUGGGUUGGAGGAGCUCCUGUUUUUUGCUUCUUUGUCGGAACACCCCGAGAAAACACGUGGUGCUGGUCCUUCGGAAGAAACGAGCAGUAGAAGGUUGGGGUGCAUUGGAAGGGGAGUGGUCAGGGACAUCCCUGAAGUUUCUAGAGUUUGAAAAGCCUCA